GCGGCGCCUGGGGCGGUGGCCGCCGGACCAAAGCUGGCCUCUCCCGGCUCCUCCUCCUCGCUCCCCAAGGCCUUUCCCACCGCGUCAUUGUCUCGGUUUAUCUGCAGAUACGUCUACCUAGCAGUCAGCCCAGCAGCCUGGCAGUUCAGAGCUCCGCAUCCCCAGGCCUCUGAGUCACAGUUCCUGCCUUCAUGAAACUAGGAGUUGGGGCCACUGCAUUCUACUCCUUCGGGACUAUUGUUUCAUUUCUCAGUCCCUCAAACCCUUUAUUGGAUGAACAUGGGGUUAGGACAGCGGUUCUCCACUGCAACAGUUUUGCCUCCCAGGAGACAUUUGGCAAUGUAUGAAUCAUUUUCAGCCUCUCAUCUGGGGUGAGAUGUCAUUGGAAUCUACAGAUGGUGGAGGGCACAGGUUCACUUGGCAAUGAGGAGCCCAAGAUAACCAGGAGACAGUCUCAACUUCUGGUUUAAUGGAACCAUUGGUCCUAAUUUCAACGUAUUUCCAUAUGUUCUUUAAAAUCACCUGAAACUGCCCUGCGCAGGCUCACACCACGGCUCUGUACCAAGGGCUUGGACCCGCCUGCAGCCAGACGGCAUCUCACUAGAUGUCAUCAUCAUCAAAGAGAUCUUCAAAACCAUUUAAAAAGUCUACAUGAACAGCCUUUUCAUUAGUUGCCAAGUCCAUCAAGAACCUGGUGCUGCCUCCCGCCUCGUCCAGGUCCACGUAGGGCCCGGCGCCCUUGGAAACAUCUCAUCCACGGCCAGCUACAUCUUGGGCUGCGGCGCUCUAGGCCCACUUCCGGCCACGGGGCCGCUUCCUAUUUUUCUAUUUUUUAACAACUCCCCAUAUUAAUAUUCAUUCACUCAUUGACUGUUAAGCCCUUCUAUGUAUCAGGAAUUGUUCUAGGUACUAGGACAUAUCAGUUAAGAAAACAUUUGUUAAUCCUUGCCUUCAUGUAGUUUAUUAGAUUGUGAACAGAUCAGAAAAAAACAUGUAAAAAAUUAUAAAAUGUUAGGUGAUCAAAGUUAUGGUGAAAAACAGGAAAGGGAAGAGGCAGAAGGAGUGUUGAGGUGCAGUGUUAAAUAGAGUAGUCAGAGAAGACCUCUCUGAAAUGUCAUUUGAGUUAAAUUCUGAAAGGUGUGAGGAAGUCAGCCUUGUGACUAUGUCUAGAGGAAGAGCAUUCCAAGAAAAUAAAACUGUCAGAGUGGCUUGGUGAUGCCUGAAAAUGCAUUUUACUAUUUUUGUACACGUCUGAAAUUUUCCAUGAAACAAGUUAAAAAAAAAAGUAGCCCUGGUAAAAGGGAGGUUGAAGCGGGCGGAUCACUUGAGGUCAGGAGUUGGAGACCAGCCUGGCCAACACGCUGAAACCUCGUCUCUACUAAAAAUACAAAAAAAAAAAUUAGCCGGGCGUGGUGGCGGGCGCCUGUAAUCCCAGCUACUUGGGAGGCUGAGGCAGGAGAAUCGCUUGAACCCAGGAGGCGGAGGUUGCAGUGAGCUGAGAUUGCGCCACUGAACUCCAGCCUGGGUGGAC
ensembl:lncRNA novel transcript, antisense to FERMT2